AGUGAACGCUGGCGGUAGGCCUAACACAUGCAAGUCGAACGGCAGCACAGUAAGAGCUUGCUCUUACGGGUGGCGAGUGGCGGACGGGUGAGGAAUACAUCGGAAUCUACUUUUUCGUGGGGGAUAACGUAGGGAAACUUACGCUAAUACCGCAUACGACCUACGGGUGAAAGCAGGGGAUCUUCGGACCUUGCGCGAUUGAAUGAGCCGAUGUCGGAUUAGCUAGUUGGCGGGGUAAAGGCCCACCAAGGCGACGAUCCGUAGCUGGUCUGAGAGGAUGAUCCGCCACACUGGAAAUGAGAACCGGCCCAAGCUCCUUGGGGGGGCAGCAGGGGGGAAUUUGGGCAAAGGGGCGCAAGCCUGACCCGGCCGUACCGCGGGGGUGAAGAAGGCCUUCGGGUUGUAAAGCCCUUUUGUUGGGAAAAAAAAGCAGCAGGUUAAUACCCCUCUUUUCGGACGGUACCAAAAGAAAAAGCACCGGAUAACUUCGU
rnacentral:rRNA from 1 species